UACGUAGGGCGCAAGCGUUAUCCGGAAUUAUUGGGCGUAAAGAGCUCGUAGGCGGUUUGUCGCGUCUGCCGUGAAAGUCCGGGGCUCAACUCCGGAUCUGCGGUGGGUACGGGCAGACUAGAGUGAUGUAGGGGAGACUGGAAUUCCUGGUGUAGCGGUGAAAUACGCAGAUAUCAGGAGGAACACCGAUGGCGAAGGCAGGUCUCUGGGCUGUAACUGACGCUGAGGAGCGAAAGCAUGGGGAGCGAACAGG
rnacentral:rRNA from 1 species